GCAGGGAUAAAAACUCCGGUGGUACAGGAUGGACCCGCGUAUGAUUAGCUGGUUGGUGAGGUAACGGCUCACCAAGGCGACGAUCAGUAGCCGGCUUGAGAGAGUGAACGGCCACAUUGGGACUGAGACACGGCCCAAACUCCUACGGGAGGCAGCAGUGGGGAAUAUUGCACAAUGGGGGAAACCCUGAUGCAGCGACGCCGCGUGAGUGAAGAAGUAUCUCGGUAUGUAAAGCUCUAUCAGCAGGGAAGAAAAUGACGGUACCUGACUAAGAAGCCCCGGCUAACUACGUGCCAGCAGCCGCGGUAAUACGUAGGGGGCAAGCGUUAUCCGGAAUUACUGGGUGUAAAGGGUGCGUAGGUGGUAUGGCAAGUCAGAAGUGAAAACCCAGGGCUUAACUCUGGGACUGCUUUUGAAACUGUCAGACUGGAGUGCAGGAGAGGUAAGCGGAAUUCCUAGUGUAGCGGUGAAAUGCGUAGAUAUUAGGAGGAACAUCAGUGGCGAAGGCGGCUUACUGGACUGAAACUGACACUGAGGCACGAAAGCGUGGGGAGCAAACAGGAUUAGAUACCCUGGUAGUCCACGCCGUAAACGA
rnacentral:rRNA from 1 species